rnacentral:lncRNA from 1 species
CCCCAGGAAGGCUUGGCCAUAAGGGAGAGAUCAGAUAGGGGAUGGGACAAAAGCGAAUCUAGGGGAUGGUCAAAGUUUCGAAAGGGCAAGAAGGAAGUAAAGUGCUUCAAGUGCCAGGAGUUUGGUCUUUUCAAGCAGGACUAUCCACUAUGAAAGAAGAAGCAGGGAGAAAAGGCAGUAGCUGCAGCAUUUGAUUCAUUGAGUAUGGUGGC